UCUAGUUCCCUGAACCUGUGAGUACAAGUGCUGAAAGGAACUUGGCAGGUAUGACUAAAUGAAAGUCGUCGAAGUGUGAGGUUUAUUCUGAUUGUCUGCCGGGCCUCAUGUAAGCACAAUGGUUCAUUGUUAAAAGGAUCAAAUGAGAGAAGACACUCUAAUGAAAACUGAACUGACAACAGAGCCUGGGCCCUGUACUUUGAAGAUAGAGGAAGGCUACCAUUCAAGAAGUGCAAGUGGUUUACAGGAGCUCCAGAAAGCCAGGAAACAUUCUCUCUUCGGAAUACAAACCUGGUGGCACCCUGAUCUCAGUACCCUGGCCCGCUAAAGUGACCUGGACAUAGCUAUCCACAUGCACCUUGGCCACUGUUUCUGACAUGGAGAUGGGAGCCUGUUGACCAGCCUGGUUCUACCCAUGGUGUUUCCUGGCAGAUCUGCCUUCCCACUGACCCUGAACUCUUCCUCUCGCCCCACACCCAUUCCACCACAUCUGAUUGGCCCUGCCCCCAGAAUCUGUUUUUUGGAUUUCCUCCUUCCCUACACCCGCCUGACCUCUGACCUGGCUGUUACCCAGUCCUUGUUCCUGUUGUUCUGACCUUACGUCAUUGCCAACUACUGCGGCUGCGUUGUGAGCCAAAACAGUGGCUAGGAGCAGCCAGUGUCUCGUAGCACAUGGCUGUGGGUAGUGAAUUAACUGCAGGACUGAGCUAAAAGUGUAUGGGACAUGGGAGGAAACUGAGUCACAGAGGAUGCCAGGCAUAUGAUGUGACUGAAAUCUAGAACCCUUGGAAGUAUUUGUCACGUUUUCUGGACUGCCCUGGGAUGGCUGGCUCUGUCUCUGCAUGUAGCUCUCUCCUGCCACCUUGUGAACAUGGGAUCACACACUUCUCCAGGAGGAGGGCUUGGCAUGGAACUGAAGCUUGGCACAUGA